AACGAACGCUGGCGGCAUGCCUAACACAUGCAAGUCGAACGAGACCUUCGGGUGUAGUGGCGCACGCGUGCGUAACGCGUGGGAACCUGCCCUUAGGUUCGGAAUAACUCUCCGAAGGGGGUGCUAAUACCGGAAAAUGUCUUCGGACCAAAGAUUUAUCGCCUUUGGAUGGGCCCGCGUUGGAUUAGCUAUUUGCUAGGGUAAAAGCCUACCAAGGCUACGAUCCAUAGCUGGUCUGAGAGGAUGAUCAGCGACACUGAGACUAUGACGCGGCCCGGACUCCUACGGGAGGCGGCAGUGGGGGAUAUAGGACAAUGGGCGGAAGCAUGAUCCAGCAAUGCCGCGUGAGUGAUGAAGGCCUGAGGGUUGUAAAGCUCGUUUACCCGGGAUGAUAAUGACAGUACCGAGAGAAUAAGCUCCGGCUAACUCCGUG
rnacentral:rRNA from 1 species